UACGUAGGGGGCAAGCGUUGUCCGGAUUUAUUGGGCGUAAAGAGCGCGUAGGUGGCUCGACAAGUCGGAUGUGAAAACUCCAGGCUCAACCUGGAGACGCCACUCGAUACUGUCGUGGCUAGAGUUCGGUAGGGGAUCACGGAAUUCCUGGUGUAGCGGUGAAAUGCGGAGAUAUCAGGAGGAACACCGAUGGCGAAGGCAGUGAUCUGGGCCGAUACUGACACUGAGGCGCGAAAGCGUGGGGAGCGAACAGG
rnacentral:misc_RNA from 1 species